UUCCUCCCGUGCCAUGGACACCGGACAUGCUUGUGCCAUGUGGAGACUGGGCAUGGCCAUAGGUUCCAGUCCCGUGGGGGGAGG
rnacentral:tRNA from 1 species